GCAACAAUGAACAAUCUCAAGAAGUUUCUUACAUAUCUUUUCUACCAAGCAAGAAUAUAACAUAAUCAACCACUUGCAUGGGCCAUUCAAACUUGGCCACUCAAAUUUAAUACAAGGCAAAAUUCAUAGGCUGAUUACAGCCUUUUCUCUCUUUAUUUGACAUCUUGAGCUAACUUACAGUGUACUAAAGCCUGUGUGAUAUACAAUGUAAAUCCGUAUGUCAGCUUAUCCCACGACACAAAUUGCGCUCUUCCAGGAAGUUGGAAGUCCAUGGAGGGAUUAUAGAAGCAACAAUCCUAGCUGUAGAAGUACUCUUAAAACUCGUCAAUUGAAGAAAAAGAAACAAGAACCUAUUGCAAAGCGUAUCCUGAAAACCUUGAUAAGCAGCCAAGAAUGUCAAGAGACUACGUGUACCAGUCAACUAGCACAAGGCUGGAAGCAAAUGGCUCGAUAGUCUCCCAGGAAUCCAUCAUGAAGGACCACUUGGAUUAGCUAGACUAAUAUACAACAUCAAGUGGACAUGAUCUUUUAGAAGUUACAGAAAAUUUCAGGCAUUUAUCAUAUGGCUCUUUAUCUGCUCGUGCCAUUCUUCCUUUCCGACUUUAUAGCCUCAUAUGACUUCAUGACUUCCUUAAACUUCGCUUCAGCAGUAUCUUUGUUCUGCUGAUUCUGAUCAGGGUGAAACUGCUUUGCCUUUUCCCUAAAUGCUGACUUUAUCUCGUCAUCCGUGUAAGGCUUCGUCCUAGACCUAUCAAGACCCAAAACUGAGUAAUGAUGCGACAGAGGGUUGCUUGCAUUGGCCCUAGGAGCUUCCCUGAAAUUAGUUCCCCGGUCUCU
rnacentral:misc_RNA from 1 species